rnacentral:rRNA from 1 species
GCAGAUCUGGUCGAUCCUGCCGGACCCGACUGCUAUCAGAGUGGGACUAAGCCAUGCGAGUCAACAUAGCAAUAUGUGGCAUACGGCUCAGUAACACGUAGUCAACAUGCCCAGGGGACGUGGAUAACCUCGGGAAACUGAGGAUAAACCGCGAUAAGUCACUACUUCUGGAAUGGGUAAUGACUCAAAUCUAUAUGGCCCCUGGAUUGGACUGCGGCCGAUCAGGCUGUUGGUGAGGUAAUGGCCCACCAAACCUGUAACCGGUACGGGCUCUGAGAGGAGGAGCCCGGAGAUGGGCACUGAGACAAGGGCCCAGGCCCUAUGGGGCGCAGCAGGCGCGAAACCUCUGCAAUAGGCGAAAGCUUGACAGGGUUACUCUGAGUGAUUUCCGUUAAGGAAAUCUUUUGGCACCUCUAAAAAUGGUGCAGAAUAAGGGGUGGGCAAGUCUGGUGUCAGCCGCCGCGGUAAUACCAGCACCCCGAGUGGUCGGGACGUUUAUGGGGCCUAAAGCAUCCGUAGCCGGUUCUACAAGUCUUCCGUUAAAUCCAACUGCUUAACAGGUGGGCUGCGGAAGAUACUAUAGAGCUAGGAGGCGGGAGAGGCAAGCGGUACUCGAUGGGUAGGGGUAAAAUCCGUUGAUCCAUUGAAGACCACCAGUGGCGAAGGCGGCUUGCCAGAACGCGCUCGACGGUGAGGGAUGAAAGCUGGGGGAGCAAACCGGACUAGAUACCCGGGUAGUCCCAGCUGUAAACGAUGCAGACUCGGUGAUGAAUUGGCUUUAUGCCUAUUCAGUGCCGCAGGGAAGCCGUUAAGUUUGCCGCCUGGGGAGUACGGUCGCAAGACUGAAACUUAAAGGAAUUGGCGGGGGAGCACCACAAC